rnacentral:lncRNA from 1 species
AGGAGGACUGCCUUCUUCCACAUUUCCCCCAACUCUCAGGAAACUUCUCUCCUCGAGUAGGCUGAGGUUUCCAGGAAUAGGAAGGUAGGGAAACUGAGGUUGGAGAAGGAAAGACUCUGGUGCUGAAGGAGCUAGAUGGAAAUGAUCUCCUGAAGAGUCUCCGUGGAGUGUGCUUUCCAGCAGACAGGGGCUGGCCCCAUGAUGGAUGGUUUCCCACUUGUCUCCGUCAUCCUCUUUUUCCCCCUUCACCCCACAAUAAACCUCUCUCACACAGAA